AUGGUUUAUGAAUAAAUCAACAAACUCCAAAUUCAUCUAUUUCAGACAACGUCUUCGCCAUAGUGUCGAUCUAUAUCCUAUCAACUUCCUUUCGUUGAGCUCUCACGAAUUGUUUCCAGAAAUAGGACUUACUAUUCAACAAUUUUGACGAGCAAACACAGUUCACUGGAGAAGAAGAAGAAAGAGGAGACUCGAGCACGCACCACUUAGAUUCAUGCUGCAGUCUCUUUAGUUGGUGUGGAUGCAGCUGUUGCUGAUAUCGCAGGAGCCACCCUGCGUCUUGGAGCUAUGGAAAGGAUGAGCAAAUGGCUAAAACCGAUGUGGCGGUUUCUGUGACCCUUGCUCGGUCGAUACUGGUUGAUGAAGUGAUUGGAGCUAAGCGAGAGCAUUAGGGCAACAUUAUCGCAAGAACAAUUUUAAGUCCUUAAAAUAAAAAAAGCUAAGGACGAAAGAGAUAUUAAAAGGGCGGAAGACGAAGAACGAGCUGGGACGUUUCUUAUAUAACGACAUUCUUCCUCGGUCCUGCUGUUUUUGUGGGUUCCACUACCCUUAAGGACAAGCUGGGACGUUGCGAUAAUUAUGCUCUAGCAUAUAUGUAAUAUACUUCUGUACCUCCGGAGAUAUCAUGACACUCACUGCCGGCAAAUCCACAUUGUUAAGAAGAGUGACGAAAUGGAAAUGGAGGUCUAUAAAGAAAAUUUGGAACAUUGCAUCAGUUAUUCCAGUAGAUGAAGGACUCACUACUUCUGAAGGAUGCAUCAACUUAAUAGUGGUGGCAGUGGAAGUUCGAGUAGUAGUCACAGUGGCAAACUUAUACAAGAGAGUUUCUUAGGCACUGAAAAGAGAUAAAGAUUCACAAUAGGCCGUGUGUCAAACGUGCUCGCCAAAGUAAUAAAGAUUAACAGUUUACGUCUUAGUUUUUGGAUAUUUUGCCUAAUGAUUUGUUACAUUUGCAAGUGAUCUCCAACUGAAAAUAGUUAAUGUUUACAUCAACAAGGUGAUCAAGAAAAUGAUCGUUGA